rnacentral:rRNA from 1 species
GAUGAACGCUGGCGGCGUGCUUAACACAUGCAAGUCGGACGGGAAGUGGUGAUUCCAGUGGCGGACGUGAGAGGAAAGCGUAAGAAUCUGCCGUGGGGAGGGGAACCACCGCUGGAAGCGGAUCCUAAUACACUGUGGGCUGAGGAGCAUAAGGAGGAAUCCGCGCGAGGGGGGGAGUGCGUCUGUUUAGUUAGUUGGUGGGGCAAGACCUUACCGAGGCGUGGCUCAGUGGCCGGUACGAGAGGAUGAGCAGCCAAGCUGGGACUGAGACGCCGCCCAGACUACGUCAGGAGGCAGUAGGGGAGAAUUCUCCGCAAUGGGAGGCAGCAUGACGGAGCGAUGCCGCGGGGAUGAAGAAGGCCCGCUUGUCGUGAACUUCUUUUCCCGGAGAAGAGGCAAUGACGGUAUCUGGAGAAUAAGCACCGGCUAACUCUGUG